GUUAUUUUUUAUCAAUUGUUGAUAACAGCUCAGGCAAACUAUAAAUUUCAGGCAAACUAUAAGUUUCAGACAAAGAAAAGGAUGUCGGAAAGUACAUCAUAAUGAACCUGACCAUCAAGCUGAUAUUUAUAUGCGAUUGUUUUCAAAGUCAAUAGUCAUUAUAAUAUUGUGAAACAUGCUGUGACAGUGACCAACCUAACUUCCGGGGUAAUUUCAUUCCUAUAUGGCUAUAUCAACUUUGUAGAAAAUGAAUUUCCUAGCUUGUCCUACAAUUGCUGCAGGAUGAUCGAAUAUUUAGUGGAAAAAGAAAUCGAACGUAAUUGGCACUUACGGUAUGAUGUAGUAGUCAUGGUUUGACAGCAUGUAGCCAUAGAACAUUGACUCCACUUCCUCAUAAUUUUUUUUUAUUUGGAUUGUGUAGAAAAUGUUGUUACGAAACAUCACACGUUAUUCACAGAACCGAUCUGAAUACAAACAGGACUGAAUUAUCGAAAAUCGAUUAAAAGAUCGAGAAUUGAGACCAAUUUCUACAACAUAAUUUAUGUUAAUAAUGUAGCAAGUACCUCGCCAAGUACUCAAGGAUCUCAAUGAGGCGGUAAUUCAAGAACCUCAAGAUUACCGCGAAACCGUGCUCAAACGAAGCAAGGGUUAACCUCU